AGGGCUGUUUGAAUUCUCUGACAAUUCUGUUUCUGAUCAUCUCACUUGAAUCGAUUCAAACUUGCAAUGAAACUGAAUUAUUUUAAACACUGAGUGUUUGUUUAUGUAGAACUAGUUACUGUCUUUUUUUUUCGUGUGUCUCAGGUAACCAUGGCAGGUGAACAUGAAGAAAGAAUCAUCACUGCUAAUAAACUGUUGCUUGAAACAAUGACUGUCAGAAUGAAAAAAUGAUGGAUUCCAUAUUUUAUUCCUUUCACCAAGAGAUAUAUUAAUCCAUGAAUCAAAGGCAGAGGAAAUCGAGAUAAGAAAACCCUUGUUUGAGACAGAGCAGUUUUGUUAUUAGCAAUGAAACUCCUCAACAAAGAAGG
rnacentral:lncRNA from 1 species